AACGUAGGAGACAAACGUUAUCCGGAGUUACUGGGCGUAAAGGGCGUGUAGGCGGUUUGUUAAGUCUGGCGUGAAAGCUCUCGGCUAAACCGGGAGAGGUCGUUGGAUACUGGCAAACUAGAGGAUGGUAGAGGCGUGUGGAAUUCCGGGUGUAGUGGUGAAAUGCGUAGAGAUCCGGAGGAACACCAGUGGCGAAGGCGACACGCUGGGCCAUACCUUACGCUAAAGCGCGACAGCAUGGGGAGCAAACGGG
rnacentral:rRNA from 1 species